UAAGGAAUAUUGGUCAAUGGACGAAAGUCUGAACCAGCCAUGCCGCGUGAAGGAUGAAGGUCCUCUGGAUUGUAAACUUCUUUUAUAUGGGACGAAAAUGGGUCUUUCUGGAUCAACUGACGGUACCAUUUGAAUAAGCACCGGCUAACUCCGUG
rnacentral:rRNA from 1 species